rnacentral:lncRNA from 1 species
CCUGUGGCUUUGUGGCCAGAAGCACUCCUGGAUUUAUCAGCAUAGAAGAGAUGAACCCAGGUAACCAGCCAGGUGGCUUCUUGAGAUGAUAAAUUGGAGGAAGAUCAGGAGGUAGCAACACCACAACCACUUCUCACCUGGCUGACCAUAAGCUUCAUUCUACUGUGUGAUCUUAAGAUGAAGGUUUCACCUGAAGAAAGCAUUGGAUUGAGACUCAGAAGCCCUGACCCGUACCUUUGGUGACUGUUCCAGACCAGGUGCAU